rfam:Lingula anatina scaffold554, whole genome shotgun sequence.
GACCGGAUGGCCUUGUGGUUAGAGUGUCCGCCUCCGGAGCGGGAGGACGUGGGUUCAAAACCCGUCUGCGGACA